rnacentral:tRNA from 1 species
GUCCUGGUAAUUUAAAUAAAAUGUCGGUCUUGUAAACCGAAAAAGGCUCUAAAGCCCCAAGACU